rnacentral:rRNA from 1 species
UACGUAGGCAGCAAGCGUUGUUCGGAAUUACUGGGCGUAAAGAGUGUGUAGGCGGUGUUCUAAGUUUGGUGUGAAAUCUCCCGGCUCAACUGGGAGGGUGCGCCGAAAACUGGAAUGCUAGAGUAUGGGAGAGGUAAGCGGAAUUCCUGGUGUAGCGGUGAAAUGCGUAGAUAUCAGGAGGAACACCGAUGGCGAAGGCAGGUCUCUGGGCCACUACUGACGCUGGAGAAGCGAAAGCAUGGGGAGCGAACAGG